rnacentral:misc_RNA from 1 species
GAUGAAGAACGCAGCGAAAUGCGAUAAGUAAUGUGAAUUGCAGAAUUCAGUGAAUCAUCGAAUCUUUGAACGCACAUUGCGCCCUCUGGUAUUCCGGAGGGCAUGCCUGUUCGAGCGUCAUUUCACCACUCAAGCCUGGCUUGGUAUUGGGCGUCGCGGUGUUCCGCGCGCCUCAAAGUCUCCGGCUGAGCUGUCCGUCUCCAAGCGUUGUGAUUUCAUUAAUCGCUUCGGAGUGCGGGCGGCCGCGGCCGUUAAAUCUUUCACAAGGUUGACCUCGGAUCAGGUAGGGAUACCCGCUGAACUUAAGCAUAUCAAUAAGCGGAGGA